rnacentral:hammerhead_ribozyme from 1 species
AUCCAGAUGACGAGUCCCAAAUGGGACGAAACACAUCUAAUCCUGGAU